GUACGAAGGAUUUGUUGUUGUUAAAUAAGCAAACUAUCAGCCUGAGGAAUAGAGAGCAAAUGACACAUUUCUACGUUGUCGUUUCAUGAAUUUGGACCACAGAACAAGUUUCAGGUGAAUAAAACAAUGUAAUAGUUAGACAUUUCCACCCCUGGUGAUAGCUAAUGUUAUGUGUGAACUUGACUAGGUUAUGGAACCCAGUUUGACCACACUCUUCUCGAUGUAGCUGUGAAGGCUGUCCCGGGCCAUCACCAUCCCAAGGCAUCCAACGUGCCCUGAAGGACAAAGUAGCGGAACUGGGAAGCAGAAGGGUUUGGCUGGAAGAGCUGGUGGAGGGAUUUCCUCCCAAACCGCAACACCUUCCUCUCCUGCCUUCCUGUCCUUUGCACGAGUGUCACCUUGGAGUAUAAGGACAGUCGUGCUUGGGGGAGGUGAACACCAAAAUCUCCUUGGUUCCAGACACCACACGUCCCCUGCAAUAGCUACAUGACCCAGUCUCAUCUCCAUCACAGAGCUGCCACCUCUGACAUCCUGGCAA